rnacentral:rRNA from 1 species
UACGAAGGGGGCUAGCGUUGCUCGGAUUGACUGGGCGUAAAGGGCGCGUAGGCGGAUUGCUAAGUCAGGGGUGAAAUCCUGGAGCUCAACUCCAGAACUGCCUUUGAUACUGGCGACCUUGAGUCCGGGAGAGGUGAGUGGAACUGCGAGUGUAGAGGUGAAAUUCGUAGAUAUUCGCAAGAACACCAGUGGCGAAGGCGGCUCACUGGCCCGGUACUGACGCUGAGGUGCGAAAGCGUGGGGAGCAAACAGG